GAUGAACGCUGGCUGCGUGCCUAAUACAUGCAAGUCGAGCGAACAGACGAUGAGCUUGCUCCUUUGACGUUAGCGGCGGACGGGUUAUUAACACGUGUAUAACCUACCUUUAAGACUUUGAUAACUUCGGGAAACCGGAGCUAAUACCGGAUAACAUGUUUAACCGCAUGGUUCAACAGUGAAAGACGGUCUUGCUGUCACUUAUAGAUGGAUCCGCGCCGCAUUAGCUAGUUGGUAAGGUAACGGCUUACCAAGGCAACGAUGCGUAGCCGACCUGAGAGGGUGAUCGGCCACACUGGAACUGAGACAAGGUCAAGAAGCCUACGGGAGGAAGAAGUAGAGAAUCUUCCGAAAUGGGCGAAAGCCUGACGGAGCAACGGCGCGUGAGUGAAGAAGGUCUUCGGAUCGUAAAACUCUGUUAUUAGGGAAGAACAAAUGUGUAAGUAAAUAUGCACGUCUUGAAGGUACCUAAGCAGAAAGACACGGAUAAAUACGUG
rnacentral:rRNA from 1 species